AGGAAAUAAAGUGGAAUCGGAGCAGAGAUUGGUGUGUGCGUGCAGUUAAUAAGAAGCUCGGUAUAUAAACAAAAACAAAACAGACAGUCAUGGAUCCAGAUCUCACGAUCGUCCUCCUCGGUUGAACCGGAGUGGGUCAAAGUGCUUCAGCGAACACUAUUUUAGGACGAGCAGCGUUCGAGUCAAAGACUUCCUUCAAAGCGGUGACGACAGGAAUCAGCGAGGAAACGGGACGAGUGUUUGGGAAGCUGUGGUGGACACGCCGGGAGUUUAAGGUUGGGGUAUCAGCUGAGAAAGCUCUGUGUGGACGUCCUUUGGUUCCUCAGACCUCGCCUGUUCCUGCUGGUGCUGAGCGUCGGUCGGUGGGGUUUAUAUCAGAAAAGCUGUAAAAUAAUAAAAUCCU
ensembl:lncRNA